AUCGCUUCUUAGCCUUUUGGCUAAGAUCAAGUGUAGUAUUUGUUCUUAUCAGUUUAAUAUCUGAUAAGUCCUCUACUGGAGAACAAUAAAUUAAAUGGAAUUUUGGAGCAGGGAGAUGGAAUAAGGGCUUGUUCUGUCCACUCCACACAUUGAUCCGGUAUUGCAGUACAUCCAGGAAUGGUGCACCCCUC
rnacentral:snRNA from 1 species